rnacentral:rRNA from 1 species
GACGAACGCUGGCGGCGUGCUUAACACAUGCAAGUCGAACGGAAAGGCCCUGCUUGCAGGGUGCUCGAGUGGCGAACGGGUGAGUAACACGUGGGUGAUCUGCCCCUUACUUUGGGAUAAGCCUGGGAAACUGGGUCUAAUACUGGAUAGGACCAUGCUGUAGGUGGUGUGGUGGAAAGAUUAGUUUCGGUAAGGGAUGAGCUCGCGGCCUAUCAGCUUGUUGGUGGGGUAAUGGCCUACCAAGGCGUCGACGGGUAGCCGGCCUGAGAGGGUGGACGGCCACAUUGGGACUGAGAUACGGCCCAGACUCCUACGGGAGGCAGCAGUGGGGAAUAUUGCACAAUGGGCGCAAGCCUGAUGCAGCGACGCCGCGUGGGGGAUGACGGACUUCGGGUUGUAAACUCCUUUCAGCCAUGACGAAGCCCUUGUGGUGACGGUAGUGGUAGAAGAAGCACCGGCUAACUACGUG